rnacentral:rRNA from 1 species
GAUGAACGCUGGCGGCGUGCUUAACACAUGCAAGUCGAACGUGAGGGGAUAGCAAUAUUCUUGAAAGUGGCGCACGGGUGAGUAAUACGUAGGUAACCUGCCCUGGAGGUGGGGGAUAACAACUGGAAACGGUUGCUAAUACCGCAUGAAGCCAAGACACUGGGAAGUGACUUGGUAAAAACUCUGGUGCUUCAGGAGGGGCCUACGGCCGAUUAGCUAGUUGGCGGGGUAAGAGCCCACCAAGGCAGUGAUCGGUAGCUGGUCUGAGAGGACGAUCAGCCACACGGGAACUGAGACACGGUCCCGACUCCUACGGGGGGCAGCAGUGAGGAAUAGUUGGG